AGAGUUUGAUCAUGGCUCAGAUUGAACGCUGGCGGCAGGCCUAACACAUGCAAGUCGAGCGGAUGAGUGGAGCUUGCUCCAUGAUUCAGCGGCGGACGGGUGAGUAAUGCCUAGGAAUCUGCCUGGUAGUGGGGGACAACGUUUCGAAAGGAACGCUAAUACCGCAUACGUCCUACGGGAGAAAGUGGGGGAUCUUCGGACCUCACGCUAUCAGAUGAGCCUAGGUCGGAUUAGCUAGUUGGCGAGGUAAAGGCUCACCAAGGCGACGAUCCGUAACUGGUCUGAGAGGAUGAUCAGUCACACUGGAACUGAGACACGGUCCAGACUCCUACGGGAGGCAGCAGUGGGGAAUAUUGGACAAUGGGCGAAAGCCUGAUCCAGCCAUGCCGCGUGUGUGAAGAAGGUCUUCGGAUUGUAAAGCACUUAAGUUGGGAGGAAGGGCAGUAAGUUAAUACCUUACUGUUUUGACGUUACCGACAGAAUAAGCACCGGCUAACUUCGUGCCAGCAGCCGCGGUAAUACGAAGGGUGCAAGCGUUAAUCGGAAUUACUGGGCGUAAAGCGCGCGUAGGUGGUUCGUUAAGUUGGAUGUGAAAGCCCCGGGCUCAACCUGGGAACUGCAUCCAAAACGUGCGAGCUAGAGUAUGGCAGAGGGGUGUGGAAUUUCCUGUGUAGCGGUGAAAUGCGUAGAUAUAGG
rnacentral:rRNA from 1 species